rnacentral:rRNA from 1 species
AACGAACGCUGGCGGCAGGCUUAACACAUGCAAGUCGAGCGCAUCCUUCGGGGUGAGCGGCGGACGGGUGAGUAACGCGUGGGAACGUGCCCUCUUCUACGGAAUAGCCUCGGGAAACUGAGAGUAAUGCCGUAUACGCCCGCAAGGGGAAAGAUUUAUCGGAGGAGGAUCGGCCCGCGCUGGAUUAGGUAGUUGGUGGGGUAACGGCCUACCAAGCCGACGAUCCAUAGCUGGUUUGAGAGGAUGAUCAGCCACACUGGGGCUGAGACACGGCCCAGACUCCUACGGGAGGCAGCAGUGGGGAAUCUUGGACAAUGGGGGCAACCCUGAUCCAGCCAUGCCGCGUGAGCGAUGAAGGCCUUAGGGUUGUAAAGAUCUUUCAGCUGGGAAGAUAAUGACGGUACCAGCAGAAGAAGCCCCGGCUAACUCCGUG